rnacentral:rRNA from 1 species
UUGAAGAGUUUGAUCAUGGCUCAGAUUGAACGCUGGCGGCAGGCCUAACACAUGCAAGUCGAACGGUAACAGGAAACAGCUUGCUGAUUUGCUGACGAGUGGCGGACGGGUGAGUAAUGUCUGGGAAACUGCCUGAUGGAGGGGGAUAACUACUGGAAACGGUAGCUAAUACCGCAUAACGUCGCAAGACCAAAGAGGGGGACCUUCGGGCCUCUUGCCAUCGGAUGUGCCCAGAUGGGAUUAGCUAGUAGGUGGGGUAACGGCUCACCUAGGCGACGAUCCUAGCUGGUCUGAGAGGAUGACCAGCCACACUGGAACUGAGACACGGUCCAGACUCCUACGGGAGGCAGCAGUGGGGAAUAUUGCACAAUGGGCGCAAGCCUGAUGCAGCCAUGCCGCGUGUAUGAAGAAGGCCUUCGGGUUGUAAAGUACUUUCAGCGGGGAGGAAGGAGUAAAGUUAAUACCUUUGCUCAUUGACGUUACCCGCAGAAGAAGCACCGGCUAACUCCGUGCCAGCAGCCGCGGUAAUACGGAGGGUGCAAGCGUUAAUCGGAAUUACUGGGCGUAAAGCGCACGCAGGCGGUUUGUUAAGUCAGAUGUGAAAUCCCCGGGCUCAACCUGGGAACUGCAUCUGAUACUGGCAAGCUUGAGUCUCGUAGAGGGGGGGUAGAAUUCCAGGUGUAGCGGUGAAAUGCGUAGAGAUCUGGAGGAAUACCGGUGGCGAAGGCGGCCCCCUGGACGAAGACUGACGCUCAGGUGCGAAAGCGUGGGGAGCAAACAGGAUUAGAUACCCUGGUAGUCCACGCCGUAAACGAUGUCGACUUGGAGGUUGUGCCCUUGAGGCGUGGCUUCCGGAGCUAACGCGUUAAGUCGACCGCCUGGGGAGUACGGCCGCAAGGUUAAAACUCAAAUGAAUUGACGGGGGCCCGCACAAGCGGUGGAGCAUGUGGUUUAAUUCGAUGCAACGCGAAGAACCUUACCUGGUCUUGACAUCCACGGAAGUUUUCAGAGAUGAGAAUGUGCCUUCGGGAACCGUGAGACAGGUGCUGCAUGGCUGUCGUCAGCUCGUGUUGUGAAAUGUUGGGUUAAGUCCCGCAACGAGCGCAACCCUUAUCCUUUGUUGCCAGCGGUCCGGCCGGGAACUCAAAGGAGACUGCCAGUGAUAAACUGGAGGAAGGUGGGGAUGACGUCAAGUCAUCAUGGCCCUUACGACCAGGGCUACACACGUGCUACAAUGGCGCAUACAAAGAGAAGCGACCUCGCGAGAGCAAGCGGACCUCAUAAAGUGCGUCGUAGUCCGGAUUGGAGUCUGCAACUCGACUCCAUGAAGUCGGAAUCGCUAGUAAUCGUGGAUCAGAAUGCCACGGUGAAUACGUUCCCGGGCCUUGUACACACCGCCCGUCACACCAUGGGAGUGGGUUGCAAAAGAAGUAGGUAGCUUAACCUUCGGGAGGGCGCUUACCACUUUGUGAUUCAUGACUGGGGUGAAGUCGUAACAAGGUAACCGUAGGGGAACCUGCGGUUGGAUCACCUCCUU